rnacentral:rRNA from 1 species
UACGGGGGGAGCAAGCGUUGUUCGGAUUUACUGGGCGUAAAGGGCGCGUAGGCGGUCAGCACAAGUCAGUUGUGAAAUCUCCGGGCUUAACUCGGAAAGGUCAACUGAUACUGUGCGACUAGAGUGCGGAAGGGGGCAACUGGAAUUCUCGGUGUAGCGGUGAAAUGCGUAGAUAUCGAGAGGAACACCUGCGGCGAAGGCGGGUUGCUGGGCCGACACCGACGCUGAUGCGCGAAAGCCAGGGGAGCGAACGGG